rnacentral:lncRNA from 1 species
CAGGACCCUCAGACUCGCAGGGCCCUCCCGGAGCUGCAUAAGGAAUGACUUUGCCUGCCUGUUGAGGUCAAGCUGAAGACUCAUCCAGGAAAGGCUGGCUUCCGCUGCACCUGUGAGAGAAUCCAGAAAGCUCUGUCCUCUCAGUGCAGGGAGAGCAAAGCUGACGGCAAGAGGCUACGGGGAGAAGCAGAGGAGAAAACCAGAGCGAGUUCUUCUGUACAAGACGAUUCCACUACCUCAGGGCAUAUUUGCCCUCUAUUUUGUUUCAUUUUUCAUGAAUUUAAAAAAUAAUUUUACAAUUAAAUAUUCAGAAUCCCCCCCA